rnacentral:rRNA from 1 species
UUCUCUUUCGGGAGGAGGGAGUGGCGGACGGGUGAGUAACACGUGGGUAACCUACCCUCAGGUGAGGAAUACCGGCGAGAAAUCGCCGACAACACCGCAUACGCUUCGCUCACGCGAAGCAACGUCCCGCAAGGGAUGCCUGGGGAUGGGCCUGCGGCCGAUUAGCUAGUUGGUGAGGUAAUGGCCCACCAAGGCGACGAUCGGUAGCUGGUCUGAGAGGAUGAUCAGCCACACUGGGAUUGAGAACGGCCCAGACUCCUACGGGGGGCAGCAGUGAGGAAUUUUCGGCAAUGGGGGCAACCCUGACCGAGCAACGCCGCGUGCAGGAGGACGGCCUUCGGGUUGUAAACUGCUUUUCUGAGGGACGAGCAAGGACGGUACCUCAGGAAGAAGCCCCGGCUAACUACGUGCCAGCAGCCGCGGUAAUACGUAGGGGGCGAGCGUUGUCCGGAGUUACUGGGCGUAAAGCGCACGCAGGCGGUCCUCUGCGUAGAGGGUGACAGUCCUCGGCUUAACUGAGGAAGCGCUCUUUAAACGGGGGGACUUGAGGGCCAGAGAGGGAGACGGAACUCCGAGUGGAGCGGUGAAAUGCGUAGAGAUCCGGAAGAACACCGAAGGCGAAGGCAGUCUCCUGGCUGGUUCCUGACGCUCAGGUGCGAAAGCUAGGGGAGCAAACAGGAUUAGAUACCCUGGUAGUCCUAGCUGUAAACGAUGACCACUAGGCGUGUGGGGGCUCGACCCUCUGCGUGCCUCAGUUAACACAAUAAGUGGUCCGCCUGGGGAGUACGGUCGCAAGAUUAAAACUC